rnacentral:lncRNA from 1 species
AGAGAAAAGGCUUUAAAAAUACCUUAAAACAAUAUUGCACAUCUCAUUAGUACCAGUGCACAACCUACCCCCCUCAUCCAUAAGACUAUGCACAUAAUUAAUCCUAUGACACUUGAGCAUGAAAGUAUUUUGAAUUAGCAUCCCCCUACUUCAUCCAAAAAACCUUUGGUCGAUGUUUCCAAUAAAUAGAUUCUUAAGCAAGUAGUUUAUUUAACUCAAAUCGCAACUCUGAAAACUACACAUUACCAGGUUGUUAGAUAUACAUAUCAUCAAUAUGCGUUUUAAGUAGGAAAUUCGACCUCCAAAAUUACAGCUCAACUCCUUCCACAUUAACAAAUUUGAACCUAGAAACGAAAGCUUGGUGAAAACAUCCGAUGACUGGCACAUAUUAUAACUCGAAGCCAUAACAUCAUAAAAAUCACUUUCAGCCAGCCAAGUAUUUUCAAAUUGAAAAACACUUUGGACGUCGAGCCUGCACGAAAUCACUAGCUACAAGCAUGAUUGGGUUAUGGCCAUAAGUUGACCCAACUAAAUUCAAUAGUUUAUGAAACGAAAACAUACCCAACCAUCUAGAUGUCAUAAAGGCUUGAUCCAACCGUUCCAUCACCAGAUUGCCAAAGCUCCUUCCAUGCUCCUACGUAUACCCAAACCCUAAAAAAAGAAUCUCAGAUAAUUAACAAUCAGAAAUACAGUCAUAAAACUCACCAAACAAUGCAAAGGAUAAACGAAACCACCCCAUUUAUCAUCAGUAGACAAAAAAUUAUUAUAAUCGCCGAUACAAACCUUAAGGCGAAUAAGACCGGGAAGCUAAAGAACAAAGAAGGUUACAACUUGCACUUCUA